UACGUAGGUGGCAAGCGUUGUCCGGAUUUACUGGGCGUAAAGCGCGCGCAGGCGGCUCGCCACGUCUGGGGUGAAAUCUCCCGGCUCAACCGGGAGAGGUCUUCAGAUACGGGCGAGCUUGAGGGGAGCAGAGGAGAGUAGAAUUCCCGGUGUAGCGGUGAUAUGCGUAGAUAUCGGGAGGAAUACCAGUGGCGAAGGCGACUCUCUGGGCUCUCCCUGACGCUGAGGCGCGAAAGCGUGGGUAGCAAACCGG
rnacentral:rRNA from 1 species